rnacentral:tRNA from 1 species
GGAGAGGUGGCCGAGCGGCUUAAGGCGACGGUUUGCUAAACCGUUGUACGGGUUUAAAUCCGUACCGGGGGUUCGAAUCCCCCCCUCUCCG